UGUGUGUUUUUAGAAAUAUGGUGGUUUUUAUUCUAUCAAUUCGUUUUCAAUGUUGAGAUUUCCGAAUUGAUGAUCGGCUUUGUUAGGCCUGAUUUAGAGCAUUUGAGGUACUUAAAAAAUAAAUUUCGUAAUUUUUUGAUAUCAUUUACCUAGUGAAUAAAAGCGCCUAAAAUCAAUAUUUAAUGGUUGUUACGAGCUGUUUGCAAAUUUAUUAGUGUAGAAAUAUCAAAUCAUGUGAAAUUUUAAUAGAAAAUUUUUUAUGCUAUAUAAAACAAGAUCAAAUUUCUUGAUCUAAAAUUUUAGUGUCAUACCAUCACUUUUUAUGAGAUUUUCUAUUUUUAAUGGUUGAUUUUGAAUUCUUUCAAUCAUUAGGUAAAUGAUUGUCGAUUCGGAAGUCCUAACAUCGAAAAUAACUUGAUAGCAUGGAGGCACCUAUCCUUCUAAAAGU
rnacentral:lncRNA from 1 species